rnacentral:tRNA from 2 species
GCCGGUGUAGUUCAAUGGUAGAACAGAGGACUCAUAAGCCUCAAACAAUGGUCCGAUUCCAUUCACCGGCACUA